GACGAACGCUGGCGGCGUGCCUAAUACAUGCAAGUCGAGCGAAGCGGGGACGGGUGAGUAACACGUGGGUAACCUCCUGUAAGACCGGGAUAACUCCGGGAAACCGGUGCUAAACCGGAUACUUACAGAUGGGCCCGCGGCGCAUUCGCUAGUUGGUGAGGUAACGGCUCACCAAGGCGACGAUGCGUAGCCGACCUGAGAGGGUGAUCGGCCACACUGGGACUGAGAAACGGCCCAGACUCCUACGGGAGGCAGCAGGAGGGAAUCUUCCGCAAUGGACGAAAGUCUGACGGAGCAACGCCGCGUGAGCGAAGAAGGUCUUCGGAUCGUAAAGCUCUGUUGUUAGGGAAGCGGUACCUGACGAGAAAGCCACGGCUAACUACGUGCCAGCCGCCGCGGUAAUUC
rnacentral:rRNA from 1 species